rnacentral:rRNA from 1 species
GAGGAAAAGAAAGUAAAAACGAUUCCCUGAGUAGCGGCGAGCGAAACGGGAACAGCCUAAACUCAAUUUAUAAUUGAGGGUAGUGGGACAAUUAAAAACGAUACUGUAACAAUUAGAAGAACAAGUUUGGAAUACUUGACCAUAGAGAGUGAUAGUCUCGUAUUCGAAAAUUGAAACAAUCAAAUUGAAUCCCAAGUAGCAUGGAGCACGUGAAAUUCCGUGUGAAUCUGCGAGGACCACCUCGUAAGGCUAAAUAUUCCUGAAUGACCGAUAGUGAAACAGUACCGUGAGGGAAAGGUGAAAAGAACCCCGGGAGGGGAGUGAAAAGAACAUGAAACCGUAAACUUACAAGCAGUAGAAGGACGACUAAAACGUCUGCCUGCGUGCCUGUUGAAGAAUGAGCCGGCGACUCAUAGGUAGUGGCAGGUUAAGGCAGUGAAUGCUGGAGCCACAGUGAAAGCGAGCCUGAAUAGGGCGUUCGUCACUAGUUAUGGACCCGAACCCGGGUGAUCUAACCAUGGUCAGGUUGAAGCUUAGGUAAUACUAAGUGGAGGACCGAACCGACUGAUGUUGAAAAAUCAGCGGAUGAGUUGUGGUUAGGGGUGAAAUGCCAAUCGAAUUCGGAGCUAGCUGGUUCUCCCCGAAAUGCGUUUUGGCGCAGCGGUAGAUGUUAUAGCUUAGGGGUAAAGCACUGUUACGUAUGCGGGCUGGUAAUUCGGUACCAAAUCGUUGCAAACUAAGAAUACUAAGUGUACAGUCUACCAGUAAGACUGUGGGGGAUAAGCUCCAUUGUCAAGAGGGAAACAGCCCAGAGCACCAGUUAAGGCCCUUAAAUAAUUACUAAGUGAUAAAGGAGGUGGGAGUGCAUAGACAAUCAGGAGGUUUGCUUAGAAGCAGCAAUCCUUUAAAGAGUGCGUAAUAGCUCACUGAUCGAGUAAGCCUGCGCCGAAAAUGAACGGGACUAAGUAAUUUGCCGAAGCUGUGCGAUAUAUUAAUAAAUAUAUCGGUAGGGGAGCGUUCUGUUGUAGGUCGAAGUAUUAGCGUAAGCGGAUAUGGACGAAGCAGAAGUGAGAAUGUCGGCUUGAGUAACGAAAAUAUAGGUGAGAAUCCUAUACCCCGAAAACCCAAGGUUUCCUCCGGAAGGCUCGUCCGCGGAGGGUAAGUCAGGACCUAAGGCGAGGCUGAAAAGCGUAGUCGAUGGACAACGGGUUAAUAUUCCCGUACCAUUUUUUAUUGACAACGAGGGACGGAGAAGGCUAAGCUAGCCGGAUAUUGGUUACCGGUUUAAACGUUCGAGAUGUUGAGAAGCGGCGAAAACGCUUUGAGUUGAGACGUGAAUACGAGACGCUAAGGCGUCGAAGUAGUGUAUAUCAGACUUCCAAGAAAAGCUUGCACUGUCAUAAAUAAAAAAUGCCUGUACCAUAACCGACACAGGUGGGUAGGUAGAGUAUACUAAGGGGCGCGAGAUAACUCUCUCUAAGGAACUCGGCAAAAUAACUCCGUAACUUCGGGAGAAGGAGUGCCUUAUUUAUAAGGUUGCAAUAACAAGAUCCAAGCAACUGUUUAUCAAAAACACAGGUCUCCGCUAAGUCGUAAGACGAUGUAUGGGGGCUGACGCCUGCCCAGUGCCAGAAGGUUAAAGAAGUUGGUUAGCUUUUGCGAAGCUGAUGACUGAAGCCCUGGUGAACGGCGGCCGUAACUAUAACGGUCCUAAGGUAGCGAAAUUCCUUGUCGGGUAAGUUCCGACC